UAUAUUUUAUUAAAUAUCUAAAAUUAAUAUUUUUUUCCAUUCUAAAUCUCUCAAUUCUCUCCGUCCACAGUUAGCAUUUUUAGGACGAAACUUUGCGAAGUGUUUUGUUUGUAAACAAUGAACUCUGUUAAAAAGAGUAAUAAAUAAUAUAUUCUUUGCAAUGAACCUAUAAAGUCAAAACAAUGAAGUUAAUUGAGUGCUAUUAAUCGAUUUAUAUAGGAUGCUGAGACUUGGACUCUGAGAGAAAGAUAUUUGGAAUAUGCCCUAUAACUGCAGACUCCAAUAUUGCAAAAAGCACCUGCAAUACAGUGGAAUAACAUAUUGGUGUGCUGAAGAAAAGAUGGCAAAGGCUUUUAGCUGAUAGGACAUUGUACUGAUGACCCUGUUAUCUGGUCAAAUCAUAAAUGUGUGUGUAUUAUCAAAAUAUUUGCAUAGAUUGUGAAAUGCUGAUGAUAUUUGAAAAUAAAAGAAUACUUACUUCGC